GACGAACGCUGGCGGCGUGCUUAACACAUGCAAGUCGAACGGUGAAGCGCCUUCCUUUUUGGUGGGUGUGGAUGAGUGGCGAACGGGUGAGUAACACGUGAGUAACCUGCCCCCUUCUUCUGGAUAACCGCAUGAAAGUGUGGCUAAUACGGGAUAUUCUGGGUCUGUCGCAUGAUGGGUCUGGGAAAGAUAUUGUUUCGGUGGGGGAUGGGCUCGCGGCCUAUCAGCUUGUUGGUGGGGUGAUGGCCUACCAAGGCGGUGACGGGUAGCCGGCCUGAGAGGGUGGACGGUCACACUGGGACUGGGACACGGCACAGACUCCUACGGGAGGCAGCAGUGGGGAAUAUUGCACAAUGGGCGCAAGCCUGAUGCAGCGACGCCGCGUGAGGGAUGGAGGCCUUCGGGUUGUGAACCUCUUUCGCCAGUGAAGCAGGCCUGCCUCGUUUGUGGGUGGGUUGACGGUAGCUGGAUAAGAAGCGCCGGCUAACUACAUG
rnacentral:rRNA from 1 species